rnacentral:snoRNA from 1 species
AGCAAGAUGAUGAGAUAAUACUUCUGAACUGUUAAUGGUGAAGAAACGCAUAUUACAAGUUUAUAAUUGCCUUCAAAGUUCUCUGAUUGCU